GCCUGGCUGGCUCAGUCAGUAGAGUGUGUGACUCUUGAUCUCCAGGCUGUGAGUUCAAGUCCCAUGUUGGGUG
rnacentral:tRNA from 1 species